rnacentral:rRNA from 1 species
UGACGCAUGUGGAAAGCACGAGCCGGGAAUGGAAAGACCGGUACAAGCGGGGUAGGUGUACAAUAGGCAAAUCCGUUGUAUGAUCCGAAGACGUGAUGUGGAGCGAAAUAAAGUAGUGAAGCGUGUGAGCCAUGUGCCGAGAAAAGCUGCUAUUGUGUAAUGCGUGCCCGUACCGUAAACCGACACAGGUGGAUGAGGAGAGAAUCCUAAGGCCGACGGAAGAAGCAUUGUUUAGGAAUUCGGCAAAAUGACCCCGUAACUUCGGGAGAAGGGGUGCCUGCGAGAGCAGGCCGCAGAGAAUAGGCUCAAGCAACUGUUUAGCAAAAACACAGGUCUAUGCGAAACCGAAAGGUGAAGUAUAUGGGCUGACGCCUGCCCGGUGCUGGAAGGUUAAGAGGAGAGGUUAGCGUAAGCGAAGCUUUGAAUUUAAGCCCCAGUAAACGGCGGCCGUAACUAUAACGGUCCUAAGGUAGCGAAAUUCCUUGUCGGGUAAGUUCCGACCCGCACGAAAGGCGUAAUGAUUUGAGCACUGUCUCGACAAUGCAUCCGGUGAAAUUGAAGUACCAGUGAAGAUGCUGGUUACCCGCGCCAGGACGGAAAGACCCCAUGGAGCUUUACUCCAGUUUGAUACUGGGAUUCGGUACUGCAUGUACAGGAUAGGUGGGAGACGGAGAAGGAUGGACGCCAGUCUGUCCGGAGUCGCUGUUGGGAUACCACCCCUGUAGUACUGGGUUUCUAACCAGUUGCCAUGAUCUGGUGAUGGGACAAUGUCAGGCGGGGAGUUUGACUGGGGCGGUCGCCUCCGAAAGGGUAUCGGAGGCGCUCAAAGGUUCCCUCAGAAUGGUUGGAAACCAUUUGAAGAGUGCAAAGGCAGAAGGGAGCUUGACUGCGACACCGACGGGUGGAGCAGGUACGAAAGUAGGACUUAGUGAUCCGGUGGUAUAAAGUGGGAUUGCCAUCGCUCAACGGAUAAAAGCUACCCUGGGGAUAACAGGCUUAUCACUCCCAAGAGUUCACAUCGACGGAGUGGUUUGGCACCUCGAUGUCGGCUCAUCGCAUCCUGGGGCUGUAGCAGGUCCCAAGGGUUGGGCUGUUCGCCCAUUAAAGCGGUACGCGAGCUGGGUUCAGAACGUCGUGAGACAGUUCGGUCCCUAUCCGGCGCGGGCGGAGGAUAUUUGAGAGGAGCUGUCCUUAGUACGAGAGGACCGGGAUGGACGGACCACUGGUGUAUCUGUUGUCGACCAACGGCAUGGCAGAGUAGCCAAGUCUGGAAGGGAUAAACGCUGAAGGCAUCUAAGCGUGAAGCCCCCCUCAAGAUGAGAUAUCCCUCCUUCGGGAGUAAGACCCCUUGAAGACUACAAGGUAGAUAGGGCAGAGGUGGAAGCAUGGCAACAUGUGGAGCUGACUGUUACUAAUAGGUCGAGGGCUUAAC